AUGAACAUGUCAUUUAUUUGAAAGGGGCAAUUGCUCCACUACAAGAUGGACCUGCGUUGUAUUAGCUAGUAGGUGAGGAAAUGGCUCACCUAGGCGACGAUACAUAGCCGACCUGAGAGGGUGAUCGGCCACACUGGGACUGAGACACGGCCCAGACUCCUACGGGAGGCAGCAGUAGGGAAUCUUCGGCAAUGGGGGCAACCCUGACCGAGCAACCCACGUGAGUAAAGAAGGUUUUCGGAUCGUAAAGCUCUGUUGUAAGUCAAGAACCGGUGUCAGAGUGGAAAGGUCGCCCUGUGACGGUCGCUUACCAGAAAGGGACGGCUAAAU
rnacentral:rRNA from 1 species